CUGAGGUGAGAGUGGUUUGAAGUUGGCGUCUCAGGUGGCCGCAUGUCCGAGGAAGGCUAGAGCACCCUGGAGGAGUUGCGCAGCUGGCCGGAGGAGCAGUGCCGCCGGGAGCUGCCAUCUGUUCGCCCCGGCUCCUCAUAUCCUUGGUUACUGUUGCUUCGCAGGGCGGCGUGCGUCAGACCCUAUCUCCAGCGGGGAGCGCGAAGACGGUGGGGCCUGAGCGUCCGCGAGACCAGGCCUUCGGCUUGGGGCGCGCAGACUUGCGAGGCUUCGGCGGGCCGCGGCGUUUCCCAUUUCUCUUCCUUGGUGGUUUCUGUGUGCUCCUUAGUUGCAGGCCAGCCUUUGCGGGCCGUGGGGGAGGCGAGGACACAGACUGGAGCUAGGGCGCGGCUGCUGUGGCGAAGAGGGAUUCUCUGAGCUUGUACAAAACAUCCGCGCACGGGGUGCGGAAUCUGAGUCGUCACCCCUUCUCGGUGUUCUGAGAAUGAAAGGACAGAGCUCUAUCAAGUUGCAAGAUUAUAGAAGUCAUUUUAUACGUGAAUAUAUCUCUAGAAGUAUAUUAUAUAACAUGAAUGUCCACUAAAACAUUUUAAUGAAUAUUUUGGUGAUCAGAAUAGUGAAGUGGUAUAUUCUGGGUGUUUAUAUCUAGUUUCAUACCUUCUCCAGACUCUCUUCAAGGAAGCCUGUUCUUUUCAGAAGCAUCGUUUGCAUGGACUCUUUAAUAGAUGAGAAUGAUGAUUUUUUUUUAAUAUGGUACUAGGCAGAGCCACAAGCACCAGUCAGUUCUAAAGAGCCAACUGAAACACAAAGUUAUAAUUGCUAGCUUGUGUGAAGACAUGCUUUUCUCCUUCCAUUCUUGUUUACAGUUACCUGAACCAAUGUCACUUUCAGAUGCG
rnacentral:lncRNA from 1 species